rnacentral:rRNA from 1 species
UAGCCGUAAACGAUACUCGCUAGGUGUCGGCCACGGUGCGACCGUUGUCGGUGCCGUAGGGAAGCCGUGAAGCGAGCCACCUGGGAAGUACGGCCGCAAGGCUGAAACUUAAAGGAAUUGGCGGGGGAGCACAACAACGGGUGGAGCUUGCGGUUUAAUUGGAUUCAACGCCGGAAAUCUUACCGGGACCGACAGCAGCAUGAAGGCCAAGCUGAAGACUUUGCCGGAUUAGCUGAGAGGUGGUGCAUGGCGUAGUCGUGU